AUAAACUUCAGAGUGUGUUAUUUUUGGUUUUUUGGUUUUUUAGUUUUUUGGUUUUUUAGUUUUUUGGUUUUUUUUUGUGUUUUUUGUUUUUGCUGUCUUCUUUUCUUCGUUUGAGGGUUAUCAUGAUGCUGUGUGUGUAUGCUAAGUUGUGAUUGAAGGAGAAAAAGGGAAAUAUUGGGAGACAGAAUGCGGAAUAGGAUGAAAUGCUUGGGUGCGAAGUUGCGUUUCGCUCUCAUAAAGGGGGGGGUUGCUUUGGCAGCUCUCACGUAGUGGAAAAAAAGCGCAACCAAAUGGACAUCACCCACAUUCAGUGCCUUCAACGCUUCAAAGAUGAAUGCCUCGGUUAGAGCAAGACAAACACACAGCACACUGAUUAAGUCCCGUUGGAGGUAGCUGAAGCUUAUCCAAAAGACGAGGGUAUCGGUCUCGCUCUAUCCUCGUGGUUUCGCAUUAACGUGCCACCUUUUGCUUCCCCAGGGUAAAAAUCAAAUAAAAUAAAGAUAAAGCAAGCAAACGUAUCGCCCCGAAGUAAACAAAAUCUACACAUGAUUCGCGAAGGAGACGGAAAUUGCGUCUGCGUCGGCUGAGAAUUGUGAGGAUUUCAUGAAUUCGAAACGCAUAGCGACCCACCAGAAGAGACCCCAACACUUGUCUCCACCGCAGACACUGCCUCCAGUAAUAUCUCCAUCAGAUUCUUUACCCAGAUAAGCCUGAGCUCAUGCCACGCUACUCUUUACAUGUUGAGGCGUCGUGUGCAUUGGUAACGUGCGCUCGCGUGUUUCCAGACGAUGCUCUUGUGUAGCACUGAAGGAAUGGGUAUCUGUAUCGGAAAAGGUCAAACCAGGUGGAUUAAAAUAAAACCCAAUAAAAUAAAAAUAAAAAUAGACAAACAAAACUAUCUAGCGGCUGAAGCAACCUCCGCAUCACUCCUCCAACAAACCCAGUAACGAACAAAAUCGAACGAGAGUGUGGAAAAACGGAGUUGCGACAUUCGCCAGCCGGCAAGAGCUACACCCAGAGGUUGAGCUGAACCUCGUCGGGAGAGGGAGGGACGAGGCAUAUUUGCAGCAGGGAUGUUGGAAAGCAAUUGGCGACAAGCCGGGGGUGUUCCCCGACGGUAAUGGUGGAAUUUUUCCAUGUGGGUCCCAUAAAACUGAGCAACGCCGAUGCCGUGCGAUGCUGACAGCCCCACAUGGUGG
rnacentral:lncRNA from 1 species